rnacentral:lncRNA from 1 species
GAAAAGCUCAAAAGAAAUCCUCGUUAUGAACUAUUUUUCGUUUCAUUUGACUUUACAGUCUCUGAUUUUUGGUGAUUUAUUUUCCCCCGAAAGGGGGCUGAGUUUGAUUCUCUCAAAUGGGGUUUUAACUUGCAAAACAAAUUUGAGUCUUGAGGAAAGGAGCCAGUUCAAGGAGCCAAACAAUGGCAAUGCCAUGGGCCAUGACCUUUUGGAUGGCAAAGAUGGUGUGGUUGGCUGUGACCGGGUGGGUUUCGUCUUGCUUGACUGUUGCUGAUGAGGUUGCUGGUUCCAUCAGAACUGGAGAUAUUGGCGCUUUUCAUGUUGGCUGAUUCUACUGCCAAAUUCACCAGUCCAAAGCUCUGGUUUGUUUUAGAGUCUACUCUUUAUUUGUCUCAUAUCUAUUCGUCUCUGUAAAUUUCUUUGUUUGUUAUAGCUUUGGUAGAUUUCUAAUCAACCCAUCUGAGAUAGCAGUGUAUUUGUGUGUGUGAAGGUUUGUCUGGUUGUUUCCCGUGAUGGGUUUGUUGGAUUAUGUUUAAUCGCUUGUUAAUGAUUAAAUAAGAAUGCAACAUAAACAAAAAUACAAAGGAUUUUCUGAACGGAGAUUAGAAACCUAUAAACCAAACUUAGCCAAUUGAUAUUUCCUAUAAUCCAUAUAUUGAAUUGUAAUAGGGGUUACAUCACUAAUUGUCUCUACUAGAGAAACCACUCUAAGCAAGAACUCAUGCUUAUCCCCGUUUGAGCCAAUCCACCAUAUGAUCCGGUUCGGGCUUGAUGGGGAGAAGAUGUAUGGUUUCAGGGUUUUAAAAAGGUGUAAGAGGAAUGGUGUGUCUUGGAUAAUAACUAUUAAGCCAAGCAACAAAUGAUCAAAAGUCAUGAAUGUCUGGAAUGCUGGGAACUGUAAACAAGAAUAGUACCUAGGCAAGUUGGAGUUGAUUGGAUUGUUUGUUGAUGGAAGGAUGGAAUUUGGGUUCUAUUAACUGAACAUGGUUGCUGAACAUCCUAUUUUGUGUGGAUUGAAUUGGGUAGAAUUUUGGUUAGAGAAGAAAGAUAUGAUACCUAGAUUUUUAAACAUCACACCUCUUGUUAGAAUUGCAUUAUUAGAAAUCUUAGUAACUUGUGAGAUUACUGGUUCUCCAUUGAUUAUGAUUCAUAAUAAAACUUACGUCAACUUGUGUAGGCUCUAGUACUCCUAAUUCUAAUUGGAGGUUAUAAGCUAUUUCAUAGCAAGCAUGUUGUUGGCGAAUUUAUUAAGGCCUGUGAGCAACAGCCAAUGUCAUGUGAAUCAGGAAAUAACAAGGUACACUUGGUUGUUAAGAUUAAGUUUACUCAAAGGUAAGACUGAACUAUAAAAAAUGGCAUACAAGGUGCAGUAGUGAGGCCCAGCUUCGAAAUCAAGCUCAAUUCCGGAAAUAUGUUCAUAUUGCUUUGUUUUUGUUUUGGUGUGUGUGUGUGUGAGUUUCCUGUAGUCUUUUAGGUUACUAAGGGAGUUCUAUGUGUCUGAGAAAGUUCAUUAAUAUUGACCGACAAUAUUGUUUUACUAUUGGAGAUAUGUAGAAUUGUAAAAGUUCUGUUGACAUUUCCUGCAAACAUGAUCUCUUCAGAAAGCAGGCAAAGUUUUGAAAGAAAUCCAAAGUACCUGGGUACCAUUCAAUUCGAGAUUGUCACUGGCCAUGAUUUCUUCUGUUUAGUGUGUCACAAUAAACAAAACAGUUUGUUAUUCACCCAGGGUAAUGAUAAGUCACAAUUAGGUAACCAUCAAUUAUGUGUACAUUAGCAAACUCAUUUGAAUCCCAUCUACCUUUUGGCAAUUUGCCUUUUUCUUUGGAACUUUACUAUUUUGCUACCACUUCAAAGGAUGACUGCAAUGAUUGUGGCAAACUCAAUGCUAUUAUUGAAGUUAAAUACUUUUUCAAAAAAUUAAUUGCAAGAGGAUCCUCAGAACUAAGUACAAGUCAGGCUCUGCUGAAGAUUUUGGACAUGGUUGAUAAGGGCUUAGUAUUUAGGACAGUCCCCUUAAGUCCAUUCUUGUGCUGGGCAUGCCUUUUAUUUUGGGAUGAAUUGGUUCUCUUCUGCUAAUGAUCUGUCUUUAAGAUGUUCCUGCUCUGAAUAUUUUGAUGUCAUCAUUAAGUCAAUUUAGUGUAGCAAAGAUUGGGCGUGUUUUUGAUUGUUUGUUUUCAUCUUUCAUGAAAUCAGAAUCCAAGGUGCUCAGGAUCUAAAGUGAUAAUUGUUUUUUGAAUGAGAUGGGGCAUUCAUAAUUGGUUGUUUUUGGUUUUUCUGUUUCUCCGGCAAGUUAAGUUAAAAAUGUAAUUGUUGCAGUGUUUCCGUUAUCGAGCAUACUGUAGAUUUUUAAAAUUUUCUUCUUGCAACUUCAAAUCAAUAUCUGCACUUUUAACCCCUUGAAUCUGAGCCAUGUGCUUUUGCUUCUAGACCUCUGUCUGCCCAAGCACCAAGCCCCAUACAAUUUUACCAUAAUACCAAGUCCUCUAAAAUUGAUAAAAUACAAAAUAUGCCCUUGUCUUGUCGCUACCAUGCUCCCCCGCAGGAUUUCCCUUAUCUCCAUUGUUUGUUGCAGUAAUUAAUUCAUAUAUUUAGUUACUUCAUUAACAAAUUUCAAUUAUUUUCCUUUGCUUUCCUAAAAGUAUACAGUCAAAUUCUCCAUGUUGUAACUGGGUCAUUUUAUCUGUCAAUUCUGUGCAACAUCAACUCUUUUUUUCCUGUACAUCUGCAGCUGAUUGGAGGUCAUGGAUAAGAUGAAGGGAUGGUGGAUGCAUGACCUGGAGAUCCAAAGCAGCAUUUAAUUUUAUUUUGUGAAUGCUGUGAGUAGAUCUUUCAAUGGAUUUGUGAUAUGUUGUUUCAUAGUAAAUACAAAAUCAUAGUUGGGAUUUUCUUUGUACUGGAAAGCUAUAUUUUUCACAUUUUCAGUUUCAUAUUAAAUACAAAAUCAUAGUUGGGAUUUUCCUUGUGCUGG